GAAAAAAGAUGUCCAUACUUAAGCUGCUAACUUUUAGUAUAAGUGGUUAAAUUCCAUUUUUCUUUCCCC
rnacentral:tRNA from 1 species